rnacentral:lncRNA from 1 species
GAGUACAGGAAGAUAAAGUUUGUGCUUGAUUUAGAAUUAGCUAGAUCCUUUGGGGGAGAGGGGAUCGAGCCGAUUUAGGGAGGAUGUUCACUGCGCGGAUGAUGCUCAGGCCAUCGGGAAAUCCAGAAACAGGCGACGACCUUCGUCAAGAGAAAAAUGAUCCUGUGGAGAAAAGUAAAUGUCGCUAGGUUGGGAUGGAUGGUAACAGGCCAAGCCCCGGACCUAUAUCUAGCCACAUUUUUUGUCAAGGAGGAAACCAAUUCUGUAGAGAAAAGUACCUCCCUGUCCCUUGCAAGGACCAGUGUCAGGCAAUCCUAGUGCCACUAUCUGGCUACUGCAUGUCAAGGAGCCAAUCCCAUGUAGAAAUAAACUGCCUCUUACUCCCUGGAUGCUAUAGCCUGAAGCAGGCCACACUCCCCAG